UACGGAGGGUGCAAGCGUUGUCCGGAUUUACUGGGUUUAAAGGGUGCGUAGGCGGAUGGUUAAGUCAGUGGUGAAAGCCUGCGGCUUAACCGCAGAAGUGCCAUUGAUACUGGCCAUCUUGAGUGCAGUGGAGGUAGGCGGAAUUUAUGGUGUAGCGGUGAAAUGCAUAGAUACCAUAAAGAACACCCAUCGCGAAGGCAGCUUACUACGCUGUAACUGACGCUGAGGCACGAAAGCGUGGGGAUCAAACAGG
rnacentral:rRNA from 1 species